rnacentral:rRNA from 1 species
AGUGAACGCUGGCGGUAGGCCUAACACAUGCAAGUCGAACGGCAGCACAGUAAGAGCUUGCUCUUACGGGUGGCGAGUGGCGGACGGGUGAGGAAUACAUCGGAAUCUACUUUUUCGUGGGGGAUAACGUAGGGAAACUUACGCUAAUACCGCAUACGACCUACGGGUGAAAGCAGGGGAUCUUCGGACCUUGCGCGAUUGAAUGAGCCGAUGUCGGAUUAGCUAGUUGGCGGGGUAAAGGCCCACCAAGGCGACGAUCCGUAGCUGGUCUGAGAGGAUGAUCAGCCAGACUGGAACUGAGACACGGUCCAGACUCCUACGGGAGGAAGCAGUGGGGAAUAUUGGACAAUGGGCGCAAGCCUGAUCCAGCCAUACCGCGUGGGUGAAGAAGGCCUUCGGGUUGUAAAGCCCUUUUGUUGGGAAAGAAAAGCAGCAGGUUAAUACCCCGCUGUUCUGACGGUACCCAAAGAAUAAGCACCGGCUAACUUCGUG